rnacentral:rRNA from 1 species
UACGUAGGGUGCGAGCGUUGUCCGGAAUUAUUGGGCGUAAAGAGCUCGUAGGCGGUCUGUCGCGUCGGUCGUGAAAACUUGGGGCUUAACCCUGAGCUUGCGGUCGAUACGGGCAUGACUGGAGUUCGGCAGGGGAGACUGGAAUUCCUGGUGUAGCGGUGAAAUGCGCAGAUAUCAGGAGGAACACCAACGGCGAAGGCAGCACUCUGGGCCGGAACUGACGCUGAGGAGCGAAAGCGUGGGUAGCGAACAGG